GGGGCAUUCGAUCGUCUUACCGAAGCUUCUGACUCACACCUCCCAUCCUGGCCUCUCUUGCUACUACUUCUAUAAUCAUUUCCAUUCCCAGCGCUUCACUUAUAGCUCUCUGGGCAACUUUGGUUGCAUCUUCCCUGGCUCGCACAGUCGAUGAUCAUGGAUGUUUAGGUUCCUCGAGCCGCAUACAUGUUCGAUCUCU
rnacentral:lncRNA from 1 species